GCGUUGUCCGGAUUUAUUGGGCGUAAAGAGCUCGUAGGCGGCUUGGCAAGUCAGGUGUGAAACCUCCAGGCUCAACCUGGAGACGCCACUUGAUACUGCCAUGGCUUGAGUUCGGUAGGGGACCAUGGAAUUCCUGGUGUAGCGGUGAAAUGCACAGAUAUCAGGAGGAACACCGAUGGCGAAGGCAGUGGUCUGGGCCGAAACUGACGCUGAGGAGCGAAAGCGU
rnacentral:rRNA from 1 species